UUGGUGACUCUGAAUAGACUAUGGCUGAUCGCAUGGUCUUGCACCGGCGACGUGUCUAUCAAGUGUCUGCCUUAUCAACUUUCGAUGGUAGUUUAUGUGCCUACCAUGGUUGUAACGGGUAACGGAGAAUAAGGGUUCGACUCCGGAGAGGGAGCCUGAGAAACGGCUACCACAUCCAAGGAAGGCAGCAGGCGCGCAAAUUACCCACUCUCGGCAUGAGGAGGUAGUGACGAAAAAUAACGAGACCGUUCUCUUCGAGGCCGGUUAUCGGAAUGGGUACAAUUUAAACCCGUUAACGAGGAUCUAUGAGAGGGCAAGUCUGGUGCCAGCAGCCGCGGUAAUUCCAGCUCUCAAAGUGUAUAUCGUCAUUGCUGCGGUUAAAAAGCUCGUAGUUGGAUCUGCGCUUCAGGACCUGGUCCGCCCAUUGGGCGAGAACUGGGAUCCUGGGCUACAACUGCCGGUUUUCCCAGCGUUGCCUUCAUCGGUCGCGUUGGGUGGCCGGCGAGUUUACCUUGAAAAAAUUAGAGUGCUCAAAGCGGGCUGAUGCCUGAAUACUCGUGCAUGGAAUAAUGAAAUAGGAUCUCGGUUCUAUUUUGUUGGUUUUCUGAUCUGAGAUAAUGGUUAAGAGGGACGGACGGGGGCAUUCGUAUCGCUGCGUGAGAGGUGAAAUUCUUGGACCGUAGCGAGACGCCCGACUGCGAAAGCAUUUGCCAAGAAUGUCUUCAUUAAUCAAGAACGAAAGUCAGAGGUUCGAAGGCGAUCAGAUACCGCCCUAGUUCUGACCGUAAACGAUACCAA
rnacentral:rRNA from 1 species